AAUUCAGUCAGCUCUUUCUCCAAUUUCUCUCUUUUGCUUCCUCUUCUUUUCUCAAUGAAAGCGACUUGAGUAAAAUUCUUUUCUUUUCAAUGAAAGCAUAGAGACUUGAGUAGAAUUCUUGAAGAUCUCAGUCCACAUAAGUAAUUUUAUUCAUAUUCAAGUAAGAAUUUCUUUAUAUUUUGGUAAUUUCAGUUAGGAUUUUCUUUUUGUUUUCUUAUAUUAUAGUGAUUUGAUGUAUAUUGGUAUUUCUAUAUUGUUUCAUAUAUCAUAUGUUUGUUGUGGUCACUUUUUAAAGUAGCAUGACUUUUAUGCUUCCAUUUGAUUGUCUGAAAUUAGAGUUUUUUUUAUAAUGUUCUGUUAAAUGAAAAACUUGUUUUUUGAGCAUUUAUUUUGUAUUUUUUUUCUUUAUCUUCCAUAAUUUUAUGGGUGAUUGUUAGGUAUGCCAUAGUUUAGCGUAUUUAUGACUGUUAGGUAUGUGAUCUUUUUAUAUUUGUUUUUGGUGUUGCUUUCUCAAUAUAUAUGGUCCCUAUCUCUUUAUCCUUUAUCGUUGGUUUGACAUAAAAUAUUGAUAGAUUCCUUGUUUUUAUUUUCUUUAUUGGUAGAUUUCCUGUUUUUGUUUUCUUUAUUAAUUUCUGAUAAGUCACUUUCUCUUAAUUUUAUGUUUGUCACGUGACCCCUUCAAAGAAUGGUUGAAAAGGUUGAUGUGGUCUUUAACUAUGGAGGAAAGUAGGUCCUUACUCCUCAACUUACCUACUUAAAAAAAUUGACUCAUAUAUGGGAAUGGCAUGAUCCUGAUUUGCUCUCAUAUAUAGAUAUAUGUUUAGAGUACACUGGAAAGUUAGGUUUUAGUAAGGUGAAACAGUUGUUAUGUAUAGGGCCAUUUGGUGGGUAUUAUCUAGUCGAGGGUGAUGCAGGAAUUAGAGCUUUAUAAGUUGCAUUUUCUACUCAAUCCAAUCUGUUUAAACUUUAAUUGUUUGUUGUUGAGGAGGGUGAAAAUAUUAUGUCAGCUCCUAAUGUUAGUAAACAUAAUAGAUCUUUCUCUGCAACAGUAGAUGCAGUAACUGAUGGUGAAUCAAGUGUGGAAGAGGAGGAUGAAAAUGAACCUGUAAAUAGUGACUAUAAUAGUGAUGAGUUAGAAUUUCUUGAAAGGGAAAAGAAAAGAGAAGUUAAUGAGAGUCUAGACAACUUCUUAGAGUUGGAAAAGGGAAUGAGCUUUAAGGAUCUUAAUGAAGCAAAAAUGUUUGUGAGCUAUUACUCUAUUAUUAAGAAGAGGGACCAUAAAGUUGCUAAGAGUGACCCUACUAGAGUUAGAUAUAAGUGUGAUGUUGGUUGUCCUUUUGUGUGUCUAAUAUUAGAAGUUGGUAAAGGUGAAGGAUUUGAAGUUAAAACCUUGGAAAUGAAAACACAUGUUAACCAUGCUUUAAGAAUAGAAGAGCUUCCCAACAAGCUUUAGCACCUUAUUUCAAGAACAAAGUCCAAAAUAACCCUAAUUACAAGGUGACAGAUAUGAGAAAGCAUGUGGAUGAUAAAUUUUCACUUAAUGUUAGCUAUACAAAGAUGAAGAGGGUUAAGAGAAUUAUCUUAGAGAAAUUGGAUGGUAGCUUUAUUGAUGAUUUCAAUAAGUUGGAAGCAUAUGUUCAAGAAUUGAGGGAUACCAAUCCUGGUUUUGAUGUUGUGAUAAACAUAUCUAAAGAUGCCUUGAAAUAAGGUAAAAGAAGAUUUUUUAAGAAUGUAUGUGUGCUUUGAAGCUUUGAAAAGUGGUUGGAGAAGUGGUUUGAGACCAUUUAUAGGUCUGGAUGGACAAGAUUCAAUGAAGCAUUUCUAUCCACUUGCUUGGGCAGUGGUUGAUAAAGAAACAACUAGAACAUGGAAGUGGUUCAUUGAGUUGUUGAGAAAUUCAUUAGGUUUGGCAGAUAGUGAAGGGUUGACACUUAUGUCUGAUAUGCAAAAGGGGUUGAUCGAUGUUGUUGGUCAAUUGCUUCCAAAAGCACACCACAGAUGGUGUAUAAGACAUAUAAAAGCUAAUUGGGCCAAGAUUUGGAGAGGUGGAGAGAUGAAAAAGUUAAUGUGGUGGUCUGCUUGGAGUACAUAUGUAGAAGAAUUUGAAGAUCAACUAAAGAGCAUGGGUUCUGUGUCUGAACAAGUAGUCAAAGAUCUAUUAUGGUACCCUCCAAAACAUUGGUGCAGAGCCUAUUUUGACACAGUGUGCAAAAACUUCACAUGUGAAAAUAAUUUCACAGAGUCGUUCAACAAAUGGAUUUUGGCUGCAAGGGCAAGCCAAUAAUUAAGAUGUUGGAAGAUAUCAAAAUCAAGGUCAUGGAUAGGUUGAAAGAUCUUGCAGUGCACGGUGAAAAGUGGACAGAAAACUUUUGUCCAUAUGCCAUGGAGUUGUAUAAUGAUUUCAAAAUCAUUGCCCGAGAUUGUCAUGUUCAAGCUAAUGGAGACUUAGGGUAUGAGGUAGUUGAGGGUAUUGAUAGGCAUGUUGUGAGUCUUGCAAGUAAGAAAUGCACAUGUAGGACAUGGGAUUUGACAGGAAUACCAUGUCCUCAUGCCAUUAAAGCUUUUCAACAUGAUAAACAAGAACCAGAGGAUGAGAUACACCAGUGGUAUUCAAAAGAUACUUAUAUAUUGCUGUACCAACAUAAAAUACAACCAGUUAGGGGUGAGAAAUUCUGGAAAGUUCAUCCUUCACAUGCUAUGGAGCCACCAGGAAUACAUAAAAUGGUUGGUAGAUCAAAAGUUUUUAGAGUAAGGAAGAAAAAUGAGGCAAGGAAGAGAGAGGGAUUGUGGUCAAAAAGUCGAAAGGGGCUGAAAAUGACAUGUGGCCAUUGCAGUGCAACAAGUCACAAUUUAAGGACAUAUCCUAUAAUAAGUUUCAUGUUCCUUAGUUAUUAUUUAUGUUGUUGUCUACUAACUAUUUAACUGUAUAGUCACUUUGUCAAAUUUUGUAGCUUCAAAGAAGAGAAGAAGUUCUCCAAGAUGUGCCACUGUCAGUACCCCAACCUAGUGAAGAAUCUGUCUUCAUGCCAACUCAUGGAUUUUCUGCAUCUUCUAGUCAACAGAUAAGCCAACCAACUGAUGAAGUUGUUGGCCCUUCAAACAAGAAGAGGAAAGCUAAGGAUAAACUUGUUGCACCUUCAAAGAGGUCUGUGGAAAAUAAUAGUGCCGCUUCUAGCAUAGUUUAGAAGCCUAUUGCACCUUCAGAAGCACUUGUUAAUGAAGAUGAAACUGGAGAUGAGCUUGAAGUCGAGGAUGAGCAGCCCUUGCUUAGGCCUAGGGCUUUAUCUGAAGCUACGACUAGGCUAAAAAUGAAGAAUUUACAACUAAAACCAACUGCUACAAGGAAGAUAUUAACUUCAGGGGUGAUGAAAAUGGUGUUAGUAUACCUACUAAUAUGCCAUAUUCACCAAGAAAGAUGACUUGGAAAGGCAAAUCUUGUGUUACCUCAAGCCAAAUGGCAACAGAAAAGGAGAAAAGGAUUAGCAAACUGAAGACAAAAAGGGUAAAACACUAAGGAACGACAAUUAUGCAUAUGUAGUGAUUUUAAGUUUUUGAGGAUGUUAUGUAAUGACAUGGCAUAAUGAAUUUUCGUUUUUGGUAUUUUGAAUCAAUCUUGAACUAACUUGAUUGUAUUGAUUCACUUUAAAAUAUUUGGGUGCUUAUUAUCUUGAUUGUUUUGA